AUCUCUUAUACUAUGAAGUCUCCAUGGCUUAGUAUAUACUUUGAUUACUUGAAUAAUCAAAUCUAUAAAGUUGGUAUGGUUUGAUUUAUUUGUAAGUAAAGCUCUUUACUUGAUUGUUUUAAUAUGUUUCCUUGGACAGGAGUGAUAGCAUUUGUUUCUCAAGGAGAAGUGAGUGAAGGACACAUUUUGAGGAACAUGGGUCUUGUAUGUUAAGUCUGCUGCUGCUUUGUUGGAGCUUGUAACUCAAGUUGCAUUAUUUUAUUUGCUGCUUUGUUGGAGCUUGUAACUCAAGUCUGCUGCUGCUUUGUUGGAGCUUGUAACUAAAGUUGCAUUAUUUUAUUUGGUGCUUGUUAACUGUACAUGUGGAUGCAAUUUCUUCAUCCAAUGCAUUGAACAUGAAAUGCUCACGUUCAUUUCUU